rnacentral:sRNA from 2 species
AACGGAUUCCCACAGAACACCAGGGACGAGGACGGGGGACCCACGUCCCCAGUGGACACCGGUAGGUGAGCAAGCGACCUUCCUUGGGGUGAAGCCGCAGUUCGCACCAUCACGGAGCGAUCACGGCCGGGCGACCUCUCAGCCCGAACCCGACAGCUGACCUCGCAGGCGCGUGCGGAGAGGAAAC